ACGGAAGGCAGCAGUGGGGAAUAUUGGGCGAUGGGCGCAAGCCUGACCCAGCGACGCCGCGUGAGGGAAGAAGGUCUUCGGAUUGUAAACCUCUUUCAGCAGGGAAGAAGCAAGUGACGGUACCUGCAGAAGAAGUCACGGCUAACUACGUGCCAGCAGCCGCGGUAAUACGUAGGUGGCAAGCGUUAUCCGGAUUUACUGGGUGUAAAGGGCGCGUAGGCGGGGAUGCAAGUCAGAUGUGAAAUCUAUGGGCUUAACUCAUAAACUGCAUUUGAAACUGUAUCUCUUGAGUGCUGGAGAGGUAGACGGAAUUCCUAGUGUAGCGGUGAAAUGCGUAGAUAUUAGGAAGAACACCAGUGGCGAAGGCGGUCUACUGGACAGUAACUGACGCUGAGGCGCGAAAGCGUGGGGAGCAAACAGGAUUAGAUACCCUGGUA
rnacentral:rRNA from 1 species